rnacentral:rRNA from 1 species
AACGAACGCUGGCGGCAUGCCUAACACAUGCAAGUCGAACGAGACCUUCGGGUCUAGUGGCGCACGGGUGCGUAACGCGUGGGAACCUGCCCUUAGGUUCGGAAUAACUCCCCGAAAGGGGUGCUAAUACCGGAUAAUGUCUUCGGACCAAAGAUUUAUCGCCUUUGGAUGGGCCCGCGUUGGAUUAGCUAGUUGGUAGGGUAAAAGCCUACCAAGGCGACGAUCCAUAGCUGGUCUGAGAGGAUGAUCAGCCACACUGGGACUGAGACACGGCACAGACUCCUACGGGAGGCAGCAGUGGGGAAUAUUGGACAAUGGGCGAAAGCCUGAUGCAGCAAUGCCGCGUGAGUGAUGAAGGCCUUAGGGUUGUAAAGCGCUUUUACCCGGGAUGAUAAUGACAGUACCGGGAGAAUAAGCUCCGGCUAACUCCGUG